rnacentral:lncRNA from 1 species
UUACAUUGUGCAAGUUUCCUUGCCCAAACUUUAUGAAAAAAGGGAAGCAUCAAAGAGAAAAGUGCCUUUAGAAUUAUCACUGUGAAGUCAGAAGAUAAUGUCUGUUGUUCUCGGUCAACUGAGAUUAGACUCGAUGUAUGAGAUGCCUGAACUAUUAGGCCAGACUCAAACCAAGGUAUGGAACUAAUUUGAGGAAUUUCAAG